rnacentral:snRNA from 1 species
GAACAUUUGUUCUUUUAGUAUUUAUUCAGUAGGUUUUCUGAAGGAGAAAGCCCAC